rnacentral:hammerhead_ribozyme from 1 species
AUUAUGCUGAGGAGUCCCAUAAUAGGACGAAACGGUCGUCAACACAGU